GGGAACAUACCCUUUUCUACGGAAUAGCUCUGGGAAACUGGAAUUAAUACCGUAUACGCCCUACGGGGGAAAGAUUUAUCGGGGAAGGAUUGGCCCGCGUUGGAUUAGCUAGUUGGUGGGGUAAAGGCCUACCAAGGCGACGAUCCAUAGCUGGUCUGAGAGGAUGAUCAGCCACAUUGGGACUGAGACACGGCCCAAACUCCUACGGGAGGCAGCAGUGGGGAAUAUUGGACAAUGGGCGCAAGCCUGAUCCAGCCAUGCCGCGUGAGUGAUGAAGGCCUUAGGGUUGUAAAGCUCUUUCACCGAUGAAGAUAAUGACGGUAGUCGGAGAAGAAGCCCCGGCUAACUUCGUGCCAGCAGCCGCGGUAAUACGGAGGGGGCUAGCGUUGUUCGGAAUUACUGGGCGUAAAGCGCACGUAGGCGGAUAUUUAAGUCAGGGGUGAAAUCCCAGAGCUCAACUCUGGAACUGCCUUUGAUACUGGGUAUCUUGAGUAUGGAAGAGGUAAGUGGAAUUGCGAGU
rnacentral:rRNA from 1 species